GCCUAAGGUAUGCAAGUCGAAUGCCGAUUUAUCGGCAUGGCAGACGGCUGAGUAACACAUGGGAAUCUACCUCAAACUCGAGAAUAGCCCAUCGAAAGGUGGUGUAAUACUCGAUAGUUCCGUUUACGGUAAAGCUCCGGCGGUUUGAGAUGAGCCCAUGUCCUAUCAGGUUGUUGGUGGGGUAAUUGCCUACCAAGCCUAUGACGGGUAGCUGGUUUGAGAGGAUGAUCAGCCAGACUGGGACUGCGAUACGGCCCAGACUCCUACGGGAGGCAGCAACUAGGAAUCAUGCGCAAUGGACGAAAGUCUGACGCUGCGACGUCGCGUGAGGGAUGAAGGUCUUAGGAUCGUAAACCUCUUUUAUCUGGGAACAAGUUCUGAGUGUACCAGAUGAAUAAGUGCCUGCCAACCACGUGCCAGAAGCAUCGGUAAUGCGUGGGGCACGAGCGUUAUCCGGAUUUACUGGGCGUAAAGAGAUGCGUAGGCGCCUUUUUAAGUCACUUGUAAAAUCUCCCCGCUCAACGGGGAAACUGCAAGUGAUACUGAAUUGGUUGAGUCAAGUAGAGGAGAGGGGAAUUCCUGGUGGAGCGGUUAAAUGCGUUGAUAUCAGGAGGAAUACCAAGUGCGAAGGCACCUCUCUGGACUUGUACUGACGCUAAGGCUCGAAAGUGUGGGGAGCAAAACGGAUUAGAUACCCGUGUAGUCCACACUGUAAACGAUCCCUGCUAGAUGUUUGC
rnacentral:rRNA from 1 species